GUUCUCAUUAAUGAAGAAAACUCUCUAUGUACUAGUUGGCACAUCCCUUUUGAAUUAAAGUCCUAAUUAAAAGGAAUGAAAAUCUAUACCCAUAUCGGUUCAUACAUAUUCACUACACACACCACCCCCCUCAAUUAUUUGGAUGCCAGUGAGGAGGUGAAUAAUGAGUGAGCCGAGAGUCAUCCUAACUCAUUGUAAAUCUCUAUGAAUCAAAUAAUGCCUCUUCGGAAUUGGAGUCUUAAUUCGGGGAGGGAGGAAUUUAAUAAAUACGUAAUAAAUUAAACAAACUCAAUCUCAACUCACUUUGGAAUCAUCUCAUUUACCCGUGUUUAUGAGAAAUCCAAAAUAGUGAAAAAUCAUGCGUUCCUAUAUUAAACCGAAGGAACCAACAUCGCAAUUUAAACCCCAAAAUUAUCAGUUUUAAAUUAUAAAGAGCACGUCAUUGAAUUUACUUGCCCUCGUUGAGAGACGAUAUAGGGUGCCUAACACUUUCCCCACACGUAUACGGACCCCAAACUUAGAAUAUCUAUUCUAGAAGUGGCAUUAAAAAAAAUUCAAAAUAAAAAAUGAUUUUCUUUAAUUUCUCCCAAAAUUAAAGUGGCGACUCCUCA
rnacentral:misc_RNA from 1 species